rnacentral:lncRNA from 1 species
GGAAACAUUGCUCACUUCCAGACUUCCAGAGGCUGGCACCAGGGACUCGAUUGUCACUGAGUAAGCUGUAUGCAGCCCCUGUGCCCACCAUGGCAAGACCCCUGCCGUCACCCACCUGACGGCUGCCCUGGCCCUGCCUCAGGAGGCUCCCUCGCCUCCAGCCACAUGGGGAGUCUAUAAAGAAAUAUGCACAAGCAGCAUCAUUCAGCAGGAUUUCAGACCAGAAAGAACCCUCCCGUCAGAGACUGGUGGCCAUACAAGGGUGCGCUGUGAAGCUUUCGAGACAGCAGACAGCCGGAGUCGUGAUCAGGGUGGCCAGGAAGGGAAACAACACGGUAGCAACCAGAGUGCCCUCCCAUGUGGAUUCCUUUGGUGACGAAUAAGCCAGUUGGUGUGCAGGGUGUUCACUGCAAGGCCCAGACAGGACUACAAGAGACCAGGACUGUCCUCAGUAUGUGAUCUCUCUCUCCUCUGGCGUCAGCUCUACCCAGGAACGGAUGUGAAGGCUGAAGCCCAGGCAAGGGCUCAUAGUGUGGGGACCGUGCAGCUGGAUUCAUGUCCAGUGGAAUUUGACACCAUGGCCGUCAUCAUCAUGUUUUGCCGUCAUCAGCACAGACCUCUGAGCAGAAAUGCCAGAACAAUGUGGGGCCACCCUG